GAUUUUUCUGCCAUUCAAAGAUGUUCAAAAUGUGUCCACCAUUCAAAGACACGGAUCGCCCUGCAAAUGCCCCAGCAAGGCUCCCCGGAUGACCCCCGUGAUGGAGGGAACCAAACACCCCUCCAGAUUCUGACCACUCCUCCCUGCCUCAGAAGGAUCACCCUGCGGGUCCCCCCAGACCCCUGGAGGCUGGCGCCGGGGCAACCGCUGAUAGAAGAGACACCCUGAAGACCUGCCUUCCUCAUUUCUUCCACCAGGCUCAGCCCUGAGGCGUCAGCUGUGAAGGAGGGGCCCUGUCUCCCUCGGACGCUGGCCAGCCUUGCUCUGAACCUGCCGGGAGAGGACCUGCAGGCCUGGACCCAGGAGUGUCUGUCUGGGGAUGCGACCCCAGUAGAGCACCCAGGCAAGGAAUGUGACAGCCCUGAGAAAAGAGUGAGGUCACGGUCCGUUCCCGCGUCCUUCGAUGAGAUCAGCUCCCUGGAAAUCUCUCCAGCUUUGGACGCGCCCAGUCCAACUGCUCAAGGUUUGGAGCCCCCGGUGCUGGAGUGCAUGGAAAAGGACCACGUGGAGCCCGAGCACGUGUGAGUGUCUCCCUGACAGUGGGGCGGGGACCCCAGGGGACAAGCCGCGGGGUCAUGGCUGGGGUCCCACCCCAAUCCCCCAUAACCUGGGGCUUCUCUCCCACACCAUCCUUAUCCCAGAGGAGACAACCAGGCCUCUCAGAAGGGUUCUCAAUAAAGCAUCAGGGGAAACGGGUUGGGUCUCCCAGUCAGGGUCUGCAUCAGGACCAGGGGGCCCUGUUUGGGAAUCAUAG
rnacentral:lncRNA from 1 species